UAGUAUAGCGAUGGUAGGUUGGUCACCUACUAUAUAUAAAAGCAAAAGAUAUUAAUGAUCUUCUUUGUCAAAAAAAAAAAGAUAUUAAUGAUCUUAUCCAUCCAAAAACUGAAUUUUAAGUGGUUGAAGAACUGGUUCACAUAAUCACAUGCAUGCCCGACUAUAUAUGUUUAUACUACUAAAAAUCUCCGUCAACAUACAAAUGAAUGAGAAUUGAAAACUACCUAAGGUAAUACAGCUUGCGUUUUCUUUAAUUAUGUUUAGUGUGUUUAAAUUAUGUGAAGACUAAAACUUUAAAAACUAAUAGUGAGAAAGGCAUAACCGUCGUCUGAGUCACUCAUACGUCAAGCUUGAAAUUAUGAUCACAAGACUGAAACAAUGCAAGUCAAAUCCUAAGGUUUCUAUAUUACAUCAUAGAUUGUUGUCCGCUAUAGUCUGCUUAAGAAUGAAACCCCAACGU
rnacentral:lncRNA from 1 species